UGAGGAAUAUUGGGCAAUGGGGGAAACCCUGACCCAGCGACGCCGCGUGAGGGAAGAAGGCCUUAGGGUCGUAAACCUCUGUUGUGUGGGAAGAAGAGCGUGACGGUACCACACGAGGAAGUCCCGGCUAACUACGUGCCAGCAGCCGCGGUAAUACGUAGGGGACGAGCGUUGUCCGGCUUUACUGGGCGUAAAGGGGGCGUGGGCGGUCAUUUAAGUCAGCUGUGAAAGGGUUUGGCUUAACCGGAUCAUGCGGUUGAAACUGGAUGACUGGAGUGCUGGAGAGGCAAGUGGAAUUCCCAGUGUAGCGGUGAAAUGCGUAGAUAUUGGGAAGAACACCGGGGGCGAAGGCGACUUGCUGGCCAGCAACUGACGCUGAGGCGCGAAAGCCAGGGGAGCAAACG
rnacentral:rRNA from 1 species